rnacentral:rRNA from 1 species
AGUGAACGCUGGCGGUAGGCCUAACACAUGCAAGUCGAACGGCAGCACAGUAAGAGCUUGCUCUUACGGGUGGCGAGUGGCGGACGGGUGAGGGAUACAUCGGAAUCUACUUUUUCGUGGGGGAGAACGUAGGGGAACUUACGCUAAUACCGCAUACGACCUACGGGUGAAAGCAGGGGAUCUUCGGACCUUGCGCGAGUGAAUGAGCCGAUGUCGGAUUAGCUAGUUGGCGGGGUAAAGGCCCACCAAGGCGACGAUCCGUAGCUGGUCUGAGAGGAUGAUCAGCCACACUGGAACUGAGACACGGUCCAGACUCCUACGGGAGGCAGCAGUGGGGAAUAUUGGACAAUGGGCGCAAGCCUGAUCCAGCCAUACCGCGUGGGUGAAGAAGGCCUUCGGGUUGUAAAGCCCUUUUGUUGGGAAAGAAAAGCAGCAGGUUAAUACCCCGCUGUUCUGACGGUACCAAAAGAAUAAGCACCGGCUAACUUCGUG